rnacentral:rRNA from 2 species
CCUGGCGGGCGUAGCGCGGUGGUCCCACCUGACCCCAUGCCGAACUCAGAAGUGAAACGCCGUAGCGCCGAUGGUAGUGUGGGGUCUCCCCAUGCGAGAGUAGGGAACUGCCAGGC